CAUGAACCUGUAUUGAUUGUUUAUAAAAAAAAAACGUUUUGACAAUAUUGCAUUCUCAAAAUUGGAAACUCCAAUAAAAUUCUCUGUGCAAACUGAAAGACAAUAGUUAUAAAGGUCUGCCUGCUUCUUAGUUGAGUCACUAUACAACCACGGUCCCACAAAAACGAAAAAGAUAAACAAACAAAAAAACCAACAAUAGUCUGUCCAUUGCCGAUGCAACUAGAGCUUGAGAGCAUCUCUAAAUCCAAUGCUGAAACUAUUUUCAAGACCCUUCCUACCGGGACCUGCAACAUUUCCUUUUUGCAUCAUUGCCACAAACUCAUUGUAAUCUAUGAGUCCAUCAUUGUCUUGGUCAACUUCUGUAAUCAUUUCUUCCAAGCGUACAUCUUCUAAGCCAAACUCCUCGCAAGCUUGUUGAAGCUCAUCUGGAGUAAUAUAGCCACUUCCAUCCUUAUCAAAGUA
rnacentral:misc_RNA from 1 species